UAAACGUCAUUUUAUUUUGUUAUAUCUUUUUUUAUAACAGCUCCAGAAUGACUGAACUGAAUUAACUAAAUUUGCAGAAGUCCAAAGAAGGUUUAAAAGAUGUGCCCACUUUUAGAGAGACUCGAAACCCACCUAGAGAGAAUUUCAGACUAUACAGAUAAAUGGAAGAUAAAGAUCAACACAGAGAAGACCUAGUUCAUAUCUUGACAUCGCAGACCGUACCAACCAGAGAAGAAUUAACGAUGAGAAGAAAUAGAAUCCAGUCGGAAGAGGUCAUAAAAUAUCUAGGACCCCAUCUCGACAGAAGAUUGAACUAGAAUAGUAGAGCUACACUAAUUCCCACUUACCUUAUAAGUUUUAGCAAUGAUAGCUGUUGGCCUUCCUUUAACGGAA